ensembl:lncRNA
AAAGAAGAGGAAAAGUCUUUAGCGUGGUUUAUCCGGACGUACUUUGGUCUGCUGAAGAUGUGGCCUUAUAGACAUCAUGUAGAAGUCACCGUGGAGUUUUGUGAAUGGAAAACGUUCUUGAAGAAACGAAGGUUAAAAUAUGAGGCUGUAGCGUGACGCAGGGUGGUACUGGAGGUGAUAUCCGGAGUAAUCAUGCGGGAGCUCCCAUCCUGAAACACGCAGAUCUCCAUGUGGCUGAAGCGACCGGCAGAUGCACACGGUUCUUAAUAUACUAUAAGGUACAAAUGAAACACAGGGGAAGUGACUGAGUUAGUUAAUGCCAAAGCAAAACCACGUGUCUUUUCAGGAUAUAACCAGGGUAAGUGUGUUCCCAAGCGCAAAAAAAAAAGUAUUCCACUUAUAAUAAUGGAUUGGAUUUAUAUAGCGCUUUUCAAGGCACCCAAAGCGCUUUACAAUACCACUAUUCAUUCACUCUCACAUUCAUACACUGGUGGAGGCAGCUACUGUUGUAGCCACAGCUGCCCUGGGGCAGACUGACAGAAGCGAGGCUGCCAUAUCGCGCCACUUAUCCCAGUCUGUUCCAUCACUACACUUUAUGUGGCUUUUAUUCAGAGUGUCUAUGGAGAUGUUGUUUCGUACUGAAUAUUCUGAAUGGAAAGUUACUUUCAGCUGGUCCCUUAUUCAUAAGCGGUCACCACAGUGGGUAGUUGUUUGAGUUGAACCACUGCGUUAAUCUCAAGCAGUUUGGACUGCUGUAAUGCUCUAUCAUCCUUCUUUUAUCAUCCUUCUAUUAGUUGACAAAGCACUGAGUGGUUUGGCCUCCCCAGUAUUUAUCUGACUAGGUCAGUGUCUAUAACAUAGUCUGACCUCUCAGAUCAUCAUGCAGAUGUUUAAUUGUCCCCAGAAAUGCAUGUAAUUCCUCUUUUCACUAGCAUCUACUCAGCUCAACUUGGUUUUAAGCGUUUUCCAUUAAGUGGUAGUACCUGGUACCAGGUUGUUUUUGUUUUCUUGGCCAGGGUAAGUCAUGAGAGCAACUCUUUCAUAAGACUCAAACUCACCAUUUUUGAAGGGGAAACGAGGGAAAUUACUACACAGUGACUAAAACAGAGUAGAAUGGAGUGGAGCCGAGGAGGUGUUGUUGGAAAAAGGCAGUGAAAAAUAUUGUGCCGAGGGUGCUUUUCAGCUGCUAGUGCUCCUGAUCUUUGGAACGAGCCACCUGCUGACCUGAGAUCAGUUACAAACAGGCUCAAAACCUUUUAUUCUCCCAGAACUCGGCUCAUAAGUGUGAACUGGUGUUUUACUACUUUGUAGUAAGUUUUAUUUUGCAGUUUUCAUUUUAAACCUACAUACCUUUUUAUGUUUUUAUCUUCUACCCAUUCACUUGUCAAGUGAAAGGUCAUUGAUUCGAUUCCAUCUGGAAAUGAAUUUCCCUCUAGGGGUUGUAUCAGGAAGGGGAUCUGGAUAUCAAACAUGCAAAGCUACCCUCUGCCGUGACUCCUUUGCCAAGGGAACAGCCGAAAGCUUGAGUGUAGUGAAAUGUACUCUAUAAAUAAAAUUACAGCUUGAAUUUUGAAUGCAUGGCUGAAUUCUGUUUUGCUCUGGAUGUAGUAAAUACAGUCAGACACCAUGCGACAUGAAUGCUUUCACAAACUGACUCAGCAGGAUGAGGGUGCUCAUUGUGCUUCUCAUUCUUACGUCAGAGUGAAUACAUCAACGGCCUCGUUCCUUCAAAGCGAUUCAGCCGGUAUAUUAAUGAUCUGUUGCUCAACAUUGCUUGCUGUCUUCCUCCCUGUUGAUGCUCUGUGCUGUUGGCUUGUUUCCUGUUUUAUUAGCUCAGAUUUAUCUCAUAGCUUCGGUUCUCCUUCUGUUUCAGCGUGUCUAAACAUUUACAUGAAGUGCAGCUCGACCUGUCGCCAGCCUCUGGGGAACUUCCCGAGGAUGGAUGAAAGCUUCCAAAGCAAGACUGUGGGGACAACUGUCAACACACUCAAAUCUGUCUGAAGUCGGUCAACCUGUGAUGUUUUUUUUGAUGUGCAUCUCACUCUGUUGAUAAUAAACUUUAAAAUUGUAAUUA